rnacentral:sRNA from 1 species
AGUCGGGAAAGAUGUCGGCCUGCAAUCUUCAGGCUGCCUAAUCGGUAACUGCUUUCCUUUGACCACGGAUGUACUGGCACUGCCGAAAGCAAGAUACCAAGCGAGGUCAGGCAUUUAUUGCCUGGCCUUUUUUGCU